ncrna:unclassified sequences L31-Gammaproteobacteria ribosomal protein leader
CGUAUGGUGUUCAGCUUCGGGCUGGAUAGCGAUACGGCCUUAAGAUUGAGGU